rnacentral:rRNA from 1 species
CUACGGGAGGCAGCAGUGGGGAAUAUUGCACAAUGGGCGCAAGCCUGAUGCAGCCAUGCCGCGUGUAUGAAGAAGGCCUUCGGGUUGUAAAGUACUUUCAGCGGGGAGGAAGGCGGUGAAGUUAAUAACUUCACCGAUUGACGUUACCCGCAGAAGAAGCACCGGCUAACUCCGUGCCAGCAGCCGCGGUAAUACGGAGGGUGCAAGCGUUAAUCGGAAUUACUGGGCGUAAAGCGCACGCAGGCG